AUGACGAUCUCUGCCCCGGCCGACCCCAACCAUCUCUGCCGCCGGCCGGCCUCGACCGUCUUUGCCGCCGCCCGACCCCGACCAUCUCUGCCACCGCUCGGCCACGACCGUCUUUGCUGCCAUCAGCAUUCCUCCCGCUCCUGGUGCGCCUCAAGCUCGCCAUCCCGGUCGUCGUCGAGCUCUCCGUCCCAGAAGCUGUCGAGCUCUCCAUCCAAGUCGCCAAGCACAAGUAGCUGCAGCAGCUGUGCAAUUUCUUGCGUCCUGUUCGGCUGUAGCAGCGGUUGUGCAAUUUCUUGCGUCCUGUUCGGCUGUAGCAGCGGUUGUGCAAUUUCUUGCGUCCUGUUCGGCUGUAGCAGCGGUUGUGCAAUUUCUUGCUAG
rnacentral:rRNA from 1 species